UAGCUCAGUCGGUUGGAGCGUGGUGCUGAUAACACCAAGGUUGCAGGUUCGAUUCCUGU
rnacentral:tRNA from 1 species